GCAAACUUGGUCAUUUAGAGGAAGUAAAAGUCGUAACAAGGUAACCGUAGGUGAACCUGCGGUUGGAUCAUUACUGAAUGUAUCUCUAGUCUUCGGACUAGACCAACCCCCACCUUUUGUGAACUGUUUUUGUUUCUCUCUCUCUUAGAGAUGUUUGGUAGGCUUUUUCAGGCGCCCCUUCUUUACUUCGGUCUUGAGGGCCUUGUUAUAGGUCUACUGCUCUUCUGAAAGAGAGAAUCAAAUUACCAACUUUAUUCUAUACUUCAAUUGUCUUACAACUAUUAAGUAUUUAAAUAUACAAACAACUUUUGGCAACGGAUCUCUUGGCUCUCGCAUCGAUGAAGAACGCAGC
rnacentral:misc_RNA from 1 species